rnacentral:lncRNA from 1 species
CUGGGAGCCCCCAGGGGCAGGAACCUCAGGAAUGCUCCCUUGGCCUGCAGCAUCCAGCCUGCCUGUAGAAAUUCAGCAGACUCUCGCCAGCUUGGAACUGCUCAAAAGGGUGUGCAUUCUGAAAACGCUCCUUUGCCGAACGUCUUGCAAUUUCUGGGUUGAUGUUGGUGAGCUGAUUUAUCUUCCAUCCUCCUUAGUUCCAAGAUCUAAACUUCCUUGAACAGCAAAACACUAACGUUGCUGCAGCCAAGUUCAACAGGAGAGGAGGCUGCCAUGCUUUGGCUGCUUCAGGGUCACUGGCUGAGGACCUGGGCGUCCCACAGCUGGAGCUGGAGAGGUGGCCGCCAGUGGGGAGCAGGAAGGAAGGAGGAAUAUAGGGGCAGCGGACAAGGAAAGUAGGGGAAGCCAGAAAGCAGUGAACCUGGAGCCGUGGGGGCUGCCACCCAGCCCACCUGCCCAGCCUGUCUGCCCUCCCUUCACCCAGCAGGGUGACAGGUGUGAACCUGCUACCUCCUCGGUGUCUCUCAAACCCCCACCCUGACCCCUCCACGACCUCAUCCCAGUUCUAGCUUACUCUCCCAGGCACUACCAUGCUGGCUGUUUCCAGUGCUGAUGCUACAUGGGGCUGGGCAGAUCUUUUAAGCACAACUCUGGUCAUAUGCAGUCCACGUGACAGCCAUCAAGGCUUGUCCACACACUCUAAAAAACUCCACCACCCCACCUUGCUGACACUGUGCACAUACUCUGCACCCUCCUGUUCUGGCCCACUCAUCUUGCACACAAUUCUCCAGCCCCAUGCAAGGAAGGCCUCUCUCGAUGCCCCUUGCAUACCAUGCCCCUUCUGUCUACAAGACCUCUGUGCCACUGCCCACCCAAGGAACCUGGCUGAAUCCUGUUUGUCUUUCUCACCUGUGCCAGGAGUGCUGUGUCCAGGCACUCAAUUGACUGUCUCUCCCCUGAUCUGUUUCAUUCAUGGCUCUUCCCAAGCUUGGUACCGAUGCGGGCGCUGCCUGUUCACUGUCAAAGACAGGCCAGAAGCCCCGAUGAGAAACGAAAAGAGAAAGCACAUGGAUGAGAGUCACUGA